GGGUUGCUAACUCAACGGUAGAGUACUCGGCUUUUAACCGAUGGGUCCGGGUUCAAGUCCCGGGCAACCCA
rnacentral:tRNA from 1 species